AUUGAACGCUGGCGGCAGGCCUAACACAUGCAAGUCGAGCGGAGGAAGGGAGCUUGCUCCUGGAUUCAGCGGCGGACGGGUGAGUAAUGCCUAGGAAUCUGCCUGGUAGUGGGGGAUAACGUCCGGAAACGGGCGCUAAUACCGCAUACGUCCUGAGGGAGAAAGUGGGGGAUCUUCGGACCUCACGCUAUCAGAUGAGCCUAGGUCGGAUUAGCUAGUUGGUGGGGUAAAGGCCUACCAAGGCGACGAUCCGUAACUGGUCUGAGAGGAUGAUCAGUCACACUGGAACUGAGCCACGGUCCAGACUCCUACGGGAGGCAGCAGUGGGGAAUAUUGGACAAUGGGCGAAAGCCUGAUCCAGCCAUGCCGCGUGUGUGAAGAAGGUCUUCGGAUUGUAAAGCACUUUAAGUUGGGAGGAAGGGCAGUAAGUUAAUACCUUGCUGUUUUGACGUUACCAACAGAAUAAGCACCGGCUAACUUCGUG
rnacentral:rRNA from 1 species